rnacentral:pre_miRNA from 1 species
UUCUUAUUGGAUGAUGACUGUCACAUAUCAUGUUGUGAUUGGUCAAUGAAAACAACAAUGCAUUUCAUCUUUCAUGGAGUUGACAUCCAAUCAGAACAUGACACGUGACAAUCAUCAUCC